rnacentral:rRNA from 1 species
GGGUGAGUACGCGUGGGACGUACCCUCUUCUGCGGAAUAGCCACUGGAAACGGUGAGUAAUACCGCAUACGCCCUUUUGGGGAAAGAUUUAUCGGAGGAGGAUCGGCCCGCGUUGGAUUAGGUAGUUGGUGGGGUAAUGGCCUACCAAGCCUACGAUCCAUAGCUGGUUUUAGAGGAUGAUCAGCAACACUGGGACUGAGACACGGCCCAGACUCCUACGGGAGGCAGCAGUGGGGAAUCUUAGACAAUGGGCGCAAGCCUGAUCUAGCCAUGCCGCGUGAGUGACGAAGGCCCUAGGGUCGUAAAGCUCUUUCGCCAGGGAUGAUAAUGACAGUACCUGGUAAAGAAGCCCCGGCUAACUUCGUGCCAGCAGCCGCGGUAAUACGAAGGGGGCUAGCGUUGUUCGGAAUUACUGGGCGUAAAGCGCACGUAGGCGGACUUUUAAGUCAGGUGUGAAAUCCCGGGGCUCAACCUCGGAACUGCAUUUGAAACUGGAAGUCUGGAGUUCAGGAGAGGUUAGCGGAAUACCGAGUGUAGAGGUGAAAUUCGUAGAUAUUCGGUGGAACACCAGUGGCGAAGGCGGCUAACUGGACUGAUACUGACGCUGAGGUGCGAAAGUGUGGGGAGCAAACAGGAUUAGAUACCCUGGUAGUCCACACCGUAAACGAUGACAGCUAGUUGUUGGCAGGCAUGCCUGUCGGUGACGCAGCUAACGCAUUAAGCUGUCCGCCUGGGGAGUACGGCCGCAAGGUUAAAACUCAAAAGAAAUUGACGGGGGCCCCGCACAAGCGGGUGGAGCAUGUGGUUUAAUUCGAAAACAACGCGCAGA